rnacentral:antisense_RNA from 1 species
AUUAUUCAACAAUGAAAAUUUGCAAAAAAAAAUAACCCUUCUUUUCUUGACUUUUUAAAUCUAUCAUAAACAAUUAAAAUUGUCAAUAACCAAAUGGAGCCCACGACCGGGCUCGAACCGGCGACCUCCGCCU